UUCCUAUGGGAGGCAGCAGUGGGGAAUAUUGCACAAUGGGCGAAAGCCUGAUGCAGCAACGCCGCGUGAAGGAAGAAGGGUUUCGGCUCGUAAACUUCUAUCAACAGGGACGAAAGAAAUGACGGUACCUGAAUAAGAAGCCCCGGCUAACUACGUGCCAGCAGCCGCGGUAAUACGUAGGGGGCAAGCGUUAUCCGGAAUUACUGGGUGUAAAGGGUGAGUAGGCGGCAUGGUAAGCCAGAUGUGAAAUCCCGCGG
rnacentral:rRNA from 1 species